GCCUGGGUGGCUCAGUCGGUUAAGUGUCUGACUUCAGCUCAGGUCAUGAUCUCACGGUCCGUGGGUUCGAGCCCCGCGUUGGGCU
rnacentral:tRNA from 1 species